CCUACGGGCGGCAGCAGUAGGGAAUCUUCCACAAUGGGCGAAAGCCUGAUGGAGCAACGCCGCGUGGGUGAAGAAGGUCUUCGGAUCGUAAAACCCUGUUGUUAGUGAAGAAAGUGCGUGAGAGUAACUGUUCACGUUUCGACGGUAUCUAACCAGAAAGCCACGGCUAACUACGUGCCAGCAGCCGCGUGAAUACGUAGGUGGCAAGCGUUAUCCGGAUUUGUUGGGCUUAACGGGAACGCAGGCGGUCUUUUAAUUCUGAUGUGAAAGCCUUCGGCUUAACCGUAGUAUUGCAUGGGAAACGGGGAGACUUGAGUGCAGAAGAGGAGAGUGGAACUCCAUGGGUAGCGGUGAAAUGCGUAGAUAUAUGGAAGAACACCAGUGGCGAAGGCGGCUCUCUGGUCUGUAACUGACGCUGAAGUUCGAAAGCGUGGGUAGCAAACAGGAUUAGAUACCCCAGUAGUC
rnacentral:rRNA from 1 species